CCUACGGGGGGCAGCAGUGGGGAAUAUUGGGCAAUGGGCGCAAGCCUGACCCAGCAACGCCGCGUGAAGGAAGAAGGCUUUCGAGUUGUAAACUUCUUUUCUCAGGGACGAAGCAAGUGACGGUACCUGAGGAAUAAGCCACGGCUAACUACGUGCCAGCAGCCGCGGUAAUACGUAGGUGGCAAGCGUUAUCCGGAUUUACUGGGUGUAAAGGGCGUGUAGGCGGGACUGCAAGUCAGAUGUGAAAACCACGGGCUCAACCCGUGAACUGCAUUUGAAACUGUUUCCCUUGAGUGUCGGAGAGG
rnacentral:rRNA from 1 species